rnacentral:rRNA from 1 species
AUUGAACGCUGGCGGCAGGCCUAACACAUGCAAGUCGAGCGGUAACACAGGGAGCUUGCUCCCGGGUGACGAGCGGCGGACGGGUGAGUAAUGUCUGGGAAACUGCCUGAUGGAGGGGAAUAACUACUGGAAACGGUAGCUAAUACCGCAUAAUGUCGCAAGACCAAAGAGGGGGACCUUCGGGCCUCUCGCCAUCAGAUGUGGUGAGAUGGGAUUAGCUAGUAGGUGGGGUAACGGCGCACCUAGGCGACGAUCCCUAGCUGGUCUGAGAGGAUGACCAGCCACACUGGAACUGAGACACGGUCCAGACUCCUACGGGAGGCAGCAGUGGGGAAUAUUGCACAAUGGGCGCAAGCCUGAUGCAGCCAUGCCGCGUGUAUGAAGAAGGCCUUCGGGUUGUAAAGUACUUUCAGCGGGGAGGAAGGUGUUGAGGUUAAUAACCUCAGCAAUUGACGUUACCCGCAGAAGAAGCACCGGCUAACUCCGUGCCAGCCGCCGCCGUAACAC